rnacentral:rRNA from 1 species
AGUGGCGGACGGGUGAGUAACGCGUAAGAAUCUAACUUCAGGACGGGGACAACAGUGGGAAACGACUGCUAAUACCCGAUGUGCCGCGAGGUGAAACCUAAUUGGCCUGAAGAAGAGCUUGCGUCUGAUUAGCUAGUUGGUGGGGUAAGAGCCUACCAAGGCGACGAUCAGUAGCUGGUCUGAGAGGAUGAGCAGCCACACUGGGACUGAGACACGGCCCAGACUCCUACGGGAGGCAGCAGUGGGGAAUUUUCCGCAAUGGGCGAAAGCCUGACGGAGCAACGCCGCGUGAGGGAGGAAGGUCUUUGGAUUGUAAACCUCUUUUCUCAAGGAAGAGGUUCUGACGGUACUUGAGGAAUCAGCCUCGGCUAACUCCGUGCCAGCAGCCGCGGUAAUACGGGGGAGGCAAGCGUUAUCCGGAAUUAUUGGGCGUAAAGCGUCCGCAGGUGGUCAGCCAAGUCUGCCGUCAAAUCAGGUUGCUUAACGACCUAAAGGCGGUGGAAACUGGCAGACUAGAGAGCAGUAGGGGUAGCAGGAAUUCCCAGUGUAGCGGUGAAAUGCGUAGAGAUUGGGAAGAACAUCGGUGGCGAAAGCGUGCUACUGGGCUGUAUCUGACACUCAGGGACGAAAGCUAGGGGAGCGAAAGGGAUUAGAUACCCCUGUAGUCCUAGCCGUAAACGAUGGAUACUAGGCGUGGCUU